CCUCAGAUCAGACGAGACUACCCGCUGAAUUUAAGCAUAUCAGUAAGCGGAGGAAAAGAAACUAACAAGGAUUCCCUCAGUAACGGCGAGUGAAGCGGGAAGAGCCCAGCACCGAAUCCCCUGGUUUUGGGGUAGCGGGAAUUGUGGUGUUUGGGACGCCUAUCGGCGCUGUGUCCCUGUGCCCAAGUCCUUCUGAUCGGGGCCUUUCCCAUAGUGGGUGUCAGGCCUUUAGCGGCACGGGACUAGGCGUCCUUGAGCGUCCUUGGAGUCGGGUUGUUUGGGAAUGCAGCCCUAAGCGGGUGGU
rnacentral:rRNA from 1 species